rnacentral:rRNA from 1 species
AUUGAACGCUGGCGGCAUGCCUUACACAUGCAAGUCGAACGCGAAAGGGGGGCAACCCCCGAGUAGAGUGGCGAACGGGUGAGUAAUACAUCGGAACGUAUCCAGUAGCGGGGGAUAACCUCUCGAAAGAGAGGCUAAUACCGCAUACGACCUACGGGUGAAAGAGGGGAUCGCAAGACCUCUCACUAUUGGAGCGGCCGAUGUCGGAUUAGCUAGUUGGUGGGGUAACGGCCCACCAAGGCUACGAUCCGUAGCUGGUCUGAGAGGACGACCAGCCACACUGGAACUGAGACACGGUCCAGACUCCUACGGGAGGCAGCAGUGGGGAAUUUUGGACAAUGGGCGCAAGCCUGAUCCAGCCAUGCCGCGUGGGUGAAGAAGGCC